rnacentral:rRNA from 1 species
UACGGGGGGGGGCAAGCGUUGUUCGGAAUUACUGGGCGUAAAGGGCUCGUAGGCGGCCAACUAAGUCAGACGUGAAAUCCCUCGGCUUAACCGGGGAACUGCGUCUGAUACUGGUUGGCUUGAAUCCGGGAGAGGGAUGUGGAAUUCCAGGUGUAGCGGUGAAAUGCGUAGAUAUCUGGAGGAACACCGGUGGCGAAGGCGGCAUCCUGGACCAACACUGACACUGAGGAGCGAAAGCCAGGGGAGCAAACGGG